rnacentral:pre_miRNA from 1 species
CUUGUACUCCCUCCGUUCGGAAUUACUUGUCUCGGAAAUGGAUGUAUCUAAAACUAAAAUACGUCUAGAUACAUCCAUUUCUGCGACAAAUAAUUCUGAACGGAGGGAGUAUUAC